GCGGGGAUAGCUCAGUUGGGAGAGCGUCAGACUGAAGUAACACUUCAUUCAAUAAAUCUGAAGGUCGUGCGUUCGAUCCGCACUCACCGCA
rnacentral:tRNA from 1 species